AUGCUACGAAGAGAAUGGUUCCCUUUCUACAGGGUCUGGUGUGAAAGAGUUGGAGCAAGGAGGACGUGUGCGGCCACUUCGCGCUUCGGCGAGAUCCUCAAGGUUGUCAUCGCAGACAAGGGCACUGGAAGAUCCAAGGGCGGCGGAUUCGAAGCGGAGGCGGCCAUUAGGGCGUGCUUGGGUCCGUACCCGGUGAUUGACGGCCGGAGGGCCAACUGCAACCUCGCCUGCCUCGAGGUCCAAGGCGCCACAACGAAAACGCCCGCCUUGAUACUCAGCUUCAAGGGAUGUGUCCUGCCACGGGUAGUACCAUCACACCGGCACAAUGAACUCCCGUGCAACCCAGCAUCCGCAUUGAGACAUCUUUCUUGGCGCUGCCAUUGCUGCCGUACUCUGACAGUCCAUGCAUUGACGCAUCGAUUCAGAAGGUGA
rnacentral:rRNA from 1 species